CACGGCUCCCUGCACAUGACAGGUUCUGCUCAGCAGCCAGAUUAUGAAGAGAGGAACGUCGCAUUAUCCCUAAACUAAUGGAUGGAGACUAGCUACUACUGAAGAGAGGUUCCUGUUACCUUACAUCUCUAUGGCAUACCCUCAGAAGCAGCAGCAUCUAGGACAUUAUAGAGAAGAAAUGAGCAGUGUUAGCUGUGAAUCCAGCAAUGGGUUCAUGAUCCAACAGUCAACUCUCUCCAGAAAGCUUCCAUAAACCCAAAUAGAUAAAUAUGCAGUGGAUGAAAAAGUGAACAGCUUGUUCCGCAUAACUAAAUAGUUUGCUUCUAAAUUGUCUUGGAAGUGAUGAGGAAAUUGCUUUUUUUAAUUAGAUUUAGUCAAUGUAAUGACCAUAU